GACGAACGCUGGCGGCGUGCUUAACACAUGCAAGUCGAACGGAAAGGCCUCUUUCGGGGGGUACUCGAGUGGCGAACGGGUGAGUAACACUUGAGUAACCUGCCCUUUACUUUGGGAUAACUUCAGGAAAUGGGGGCUAAUACCGGAAAGGAGCUCCUGUUGCCUGGUGGGGGUUGGAAAGUUUCGGCGGGUGGGGAUGGACUGGCGGCUUAUCGGCUUGUCGGUGGGGUAGUGGCUUACCAAGGAUUUGACGGGUAGCCGGCCUGUGAGGGUGACCGGCGACAUUGGGGCCGAGAUACGGCCCAGACUCCUACGGGAGGCAGAAGUGGGGAAUAUUGCACAAUGGGUGGAAGCCUGAUGCAGCAACGCCGGGUGCGGGAUGACGGCGUUCGGGUUGUAGGCCGCCUUCGCUCAUGCCGAAGCUGUGUGUCACGGUAGUGGGUAAAGAAGCACCGGCUAACUACGUG
rnacentral:rRNA from 1 species